GCGCCUCCACAUGCACCAGUAACCCUAUACAUGUCACAGCUCCGUGUACAAUGGCAGGAUUACGGGUCAUCCGUGAAGGUGGUUCAUGUUUUUUUUUUUUGGUUUUUUUUUCAGUGGGUGUGGGUGUGCGUGUUUGCUGUUGUGACCGAGUCAAAGAAAGAAAGAAAAACGUGUGAGCACUUAAAUCAGAAUGGGCGUGUGUCUGUGUGUGCAAAGCACGCCGUCGGACUUAAAAUCGGAUGGUUGCUGGUUCAAGACUCACCACUGCCAGGUUUCUACUGUUGGGCUCCUGAGCAACUCCCUUAAGCCUCAAGUUGCACUCAGUCAAAAAUGUCUCGCUGGGGAAACCGCGACGCCUUCACCGCUGUCAUAGUCGCAAGAGAGGAGAAAGGGAGGCUCACAUCCUAUUACCGUCCACCCUUGUGAACGCGCGCGUCUUUAACGAGCGUGCCGAGGUGAACAUCCCCGCUCCUAACUCCCUCCGGCCUGACUCGUGAAUAAUGAAGCCAUGUCUACAUCAUGAGGAAUCAACCCUGGCACGGUUGUAGGCUAAUUGCUAUACAGUUGAGUGACAUUCAGAAACCUCCCUUGCGUUUCUGCACUGCCCUUAGAAGACCUGGAGUCCUUGACAGCCUAUUUCACAAGCUCCAUUUCAGAAUGCUUUCUGUAAACAAGCACACGUUACACAAGAGGAAGUUGCCAAGCUGAGACAGCAGAUGCGGUAACUAUUUGAAACUAUCGCUCAAAAUGCAGUCAGUUCUAAAGUCUUUGCUCUUUACUAGGCUAUGUACCCUGUGACUAGGCUAUGAAUCUUAUGAAUAGGCUAUGUAUACUGUGAACAGGCUACGUGGCCUGUAUCUAUGCUACAAAGCCUGUGACCAGUUAUGAAGUCUGUGUUUUGGAAUCUGUCAGCACUUUCUACACUUGAAAUCUUCAUACCUGAAUCAUUCAACAUCACAGGGAGACUUCAAACACAGUUUUGUUUUUGUUGUUCAAAGGGUCUGGUAGGGUCUGAUUCUAAUCUUGCCACAGAGCAUUAAUGUCUUGGUUUUUAAUCGACCAUGACGUCAUGCUGCAAGUCCUCAUCUCGCGCUGUAGAGAUUUCAUCUUCAUCUAAGCCUGUGAAACCGAUGCUUGGGGGACCAUCAUGUUCCUGUGUUGCGCUGUAGACAUGGUGAUUCCAGUUAUACUAAUAUGACAUAAACCCACGAGCAGGUGAUGUCUGUCCUGUCAUCUUGGUCAUGUAGAACCUUGAAAUGAAAGCAACUCCUGCGAUUUCCAUACCUCACUGAUUAAA